CAAUAAGCGGAGGAAAAGAAACCAACAGGGAUUGCCUUAGUAGCGGCGAGCGAAGCGGCAACAGCUCAAAUUUGAAAUCUGGCUACUUUGUAGUCCGAGUUGUAAUUUGCAGAGGAUGCUUUUGGUGAGGUGCCUUCCGAGUUCCCUGGAACGGGACGCCAGAGAGGGUGAGAGCCCCGUACGGUUGGACACCAAGCCUUUGUAUAGCUCCUUCAACGAGUCGAGUAGUUUGGGAAUGCUGCUCUAAAUGGGAGGUAUAUCUCUUCUAAAGCUAAAUACCGGCUAGAGACCGAUAGCGCACAAGUAGAGUGAUCGAAAGAUGAAAAGCACUUUGAAAAGAGAGUUAAACAGCACGUGAAAUUGUUGAAAGGGAAGCGCCUAUGACCAGACUUGUUUCUGUCAGUUUUGCUUGUUUUCGGACUUGUUUACUCUGUCAGUACAGGCCAACAUCAGUUUGUUGUUUGGGAGAAAGGCUUAGGGAAUGUGGCUCCCUCGGGAGUGUUAUAGCCCUUUGCAUAAUACCAUUCGGCAGACUGAGGACCGCGCUUCGGCAAGGAUGUUGGCGUAAUGG
rnacentral:rRNA from 1 species